rnacentral:rRNA from 1 species
UGGGGAAUAUUGGUCAAUGGGCGAAAGCCUGAACCAGCAAUGCCGCGUGAGUGAUGAAGGCCUUCGGGUUGUAAAGCUCUGUCGGAGGGAACGAAUAAGCCGUUUAAUACACGGUGAUGACGGUACCUUCAAAGGAAGCACCGGCUAACUCUGUGCCAGCAGCCGCGGUAAUACAGAGGGUGCAAGCGUUGUUCGGAAUUACUGGGCGUAAAGCGCGUGUAGGCGGUUUAGCAAGUCAGACGUGAAAUCCCUCAGCUUAACUGAGGAACUGCGUUUGAAACUACUAGACUUGAGUAUCGGAGGGGGUGGCGGAAUUCCCGGUGUAGAGGUGAAAUUCGUAGAUAUCGGGAGGAACACCUGUGGCGAAGGCGGCCACCUGGAAGAUUACUGACGCUGAGACGCGAAAGCGUGGGGAGCAAACAGGAUUAGAUACCCCCGUAGUCC